GCUAAACAUUAUUUAAUCUAUGUAAAGAAAACAUCAACUUUAUAUAUUAUAAAGCGUUCGAAUCCUUUUCUGUUUAUAAUAAUAUCAUAAUUAUGAAGUUAUUUUAUGUUUUGAUCUACUUUAUUUCUCUAUUUCUUGUUAUAAAUGUUCAAGCAUUUUUCGAUUGUGAGAAUCAUGAUGACUGUAAAAACAAAAUUAAGUAUGUGCUUCCUCGGAUUGCGGAAUGUCGCGAUUACAAAUGUAAUUGUUUUCCUUUAAAUCUUUCAAAAACUCUUUGGAGUGCAAGUACAAAGAGAGUGCACAAAAGUCUUGCUCAAACGAAUGAUUUCUUGCACUAGAAAAAGAUCAAUUAAAAAUUGUUUAUGAUAAAAUUAUCAUGGUAUGUGAUUUAAUAAGUUUGUUGACACCUAAUAAUUAGUUAUUUUUCCUUUCCUAUUUUUAAA